rnacentral:tRNA from 1 species
GGUUCUAUAGUGUAGCGGUUAGCACGUCUGCUUUACAUGCAGAAGGUCCUUCGUUUGCACCCUUGUGGAGCCA